UAGGGAAUAUUGCGCAAUGCCCAAAUGGGUGACGCAGCAACGCCGCGUGGAGGAUGAAGUUUUUCGGAAUGUAAACUCCUGUCAGAGGGGAAGAAUGUCCCGAUUUAUCGGGAUUGACGGUACCCUCAGAGGAAGCUCCGGCCAACUCCGUGCCAGCAGCCGCGGUAAUACGGGGGGAGCAAGCGUUGUUCGGAAUCACUGGGCGUAAAGGGUGUGUAGGUGGGUCAGUAAGUUAGAUGUGAAAGCUCCGAGCUUAACUCGGAGACUGCAUCUAAGACUGCUGGUCUUGAGUACGGGAGAGGAAAGUGGAAUUCCUGGUGUAGCGGUGAAAUGCGUAGAUAUCAGGAAGAACACCGGUGGCGUAGGCGACUUUCCAUUCCGAUACUGACGCUGAAACACGAAGGCUAGGGGAGCAAACAGGAUUAGAUACCCUGGUAGUCCUAGCGGUAAACGUUGGACACUAGGUGUUGGAGGAGUCGACCCUUUCAGUACCGAAGCUAACGCAUUAAGUGUCCCGCCUGGGGAGUACGGUCGCAAGGUUG
rnacentral:rRNA from 1 species